rnacentral:rRNA from 1 species
AGUGAACGCUGGCGGUAGGCCUAACACAUGCAAGUCGAACGGCAGCACAGUAUGCGCGUGCUCUUACGGGUGGCGGGGAGCGGACGGGUGCGGAGUACGUCGGCAGCUACUUUUUGGGGGGGGAUAACGUGGGGCAAAUGACACUAAUACAUCAUACGACCUACGGGAGAAAGCAGGGGAUCAUCGGACAUUUCCAGAAUGAAUAGAUCAAUCGCUGUUUAAUUAGCUAGUUGGGGAGGUAAAGACUCACCAAGGCGACGAUCCAUAGCCGAUCUGAGAGGGUGAUCAGCCACAUUGGGACUGAGACACGGCCCAGACUCCUACGGGAGGCAGCAGUGGGGAAUCUUGGACAAUGGGCGCAAGCCUGAUCCAGCCAUACCGCGUGGGUGAAGAAGGCCUUCGGGUUGUAAAGCCCUUUUGUUGGGAAAGAAAGGCAGCAGGUUAAUAACCCGCUUUUCUGACGGUACCCAAAGAAUAAGCACCGGCUAACUUCGUU